rfam:Glycine soja cultivar W05 scaffold2377_13, whole genome shotgun sequence.
GUCCCUUCGGGGACAUCCAAUAAAAUUGGAACGAUACAUAGAAGAUUAGCAUGGCCCCUGUGCAAGGAUGACAUGCACAAAUCAAGAAAUGGUCCAAAUUUUU